rnacentral:rRNA from 1 species
UACGUAGGGUGCAAGCGUUGUCCGGAAUUAUUGGGCGUAAAGAGCUCGUAGGCGGUCUGUCGCGUCUGCUGUGAAAACUCAGGGCUUAACCCUGAGCUUGCAGUGGGUACGGGCAGACUAGAGUGCGGUAGGGGAGACUGGAAUUCCUGGUGUAGCGGUGAAAUGCGCAGAUAUCAGGAGGAACACCAGUGGCGAAGGCAGG